rnacentral:rRNA from 1 species
GACGAACGCUGGCGGCGUGCCUAAUACAUGCAAGUCGAGCGGACGAAUCGAAAGCUUGCUUUUGAUUCGUUAGCGGCGGACGGGUGAGUAACACGUGGGCAACCUGCCCUGUAGACGGGGAUAACACCGAGAAAUCGGUGCUAAUACCGGAUAACACGAAAUGUCGCAUGACGUUUCGUUGAAAGACGGCGCAAGCUGUCGCUACAGGAUGGGCCCGCGGCGCAUUAGCUAGUUGGUGAGGUAACGGCUCACCAAGGCGACGAUGCGUAGCCGACCUGAGAGGGUGAUCGGCCACACUGGGACUGAGACACGGCCCAGACUCCUACGGGAGGCAGCAGUAGGGAAUCUUCCGCAAUGGACGAAAGUCUGACGGAGCAACGCCGCGUGAGAGAAGAAGGCCUUCGGGUCGUAAAGCUCUGUUGUUAGGGAAGAACAAGUAACGCAGUAACUGGCGUUACCGUGACGGUACCUAACGAGAAAGCCACGGCUAACUACGUG